GGCGAGAUAGCUCAGGUGGUUAGAGCGCAGCAUUCAUAAUGCUGAGGUCGUGAGUUCGAGCCUCACUCUCGCUA
rnacentral:tRNA from 1 species